UACGUAGGGGGCAAGCGUUGUCCGGAAUCAUUGGGCGUAAAGCGCGUGUAGGCGGCCAGGUAAGUCCGUUUCUGAAAGCCCGGGGCUCAACCCCGGGGAGGCGGAUGGAUACUGCUUGGCUCGAGUCCGGAAGAGGCGAGUGGGAAUUCCCGGUGUAGCGGUGAAAUGCGCAGAUAUCGGGAGGAACACCAAUGGCGAAGGCAGCACUCUGGGACGUGACUGACGCUGAGAGCGAAAGCGUGGGGAGCAAACAGGG
rnacentral:rRNA from 1 species